rnacentral:ribozyme from 1 species
GGAUUCGAAGUCUCUCGAAGGAUAGUAUUAGCACUCGAUGCCCUACAUCGAUUCAAUAAGUCUACAAAGCAUAAACAUUCCAAAUAUCUGAGGUUCUGGGUAUACGAGGAAACAUAAAAACUUGGGCUAGAUUGAUCGGCUA